rfam:Bacillus coagulans 36D1, complete genome.
UUCUUAUCAAGAGAGGUGGAGGGAAGGGCCCUGUGAAGCCUCGGCAGCAGGUCCGAAAACGGGUACUGUGCCAAUUCCUGCAGGUGGUGGCCUGAAAGAUAAGAA